UACGUAGGGGGCAAGCGUUGUCCGGAAUCAUUGGGCGUAAAGCGCGUGUAGGCGGCUGAGUAAGUCUGCUCUGAAAGCCCGGGGCUCAACCCCGGGAGGCGGGUGGAUACUGCUCAGCUCGAGUCCGGAAGAGGAGUGUGGAAUUCCUGGUGUAGCGGUGAAAUGCGCAGAUAUCAGGAGGAACACCAAUGGCGAAGGCAGCACUCUGGGACGGUACUGACGCUGAGGAGCGAAAGCGUGGGGAGCGAACAGG
rnacentral:rRNA from 1 species